CGGCCGGAAAUAGUUCUCAGUAGCUGUUUUGAAAACAAAACUCGAAACUCAUUGAUGUGAAGAGACAGUCCUGUUAGAGGGUCGUUAGAGCUCCACGUUGGGGUCCUCCCAAACCCCAGCUCGCAGGCCAGGCUCCUUGUGGCUAGCAGAAGUGGAGACCCGGUUUAACAGCAACUGUAUAACUUUCCUGAUGCUUUCCUGCCUACAUACCUCCUGCCUUCCUGUGAUCAAGCACAUCCUGAUAAUGCUGAUGCAAAAUUACCUGAUCUCUCAGCCACUGCUAAGUCUCUAAUGGGUUUAACAGCAACUGUAUAACUUUCCUGAUGCUCUCCUGCCUACAUGCCUCCUGCCUUCCUGUGACCAAGCACAUCCUAUGCAGUUGGGGCAACAAACCUUGUUUACUGAAGCGAAAACAACAGCAUCCCCCAGCGUUGUGUGAGGUUUUCUGUUGCUAGGUAAGAAGACUGUUAACUCUGAGGUGUGGGACAACACAAGGCAGCCAGCGAGCCAUCCUCUGCAAUGCUUCAAAGCUAAGGCAAGCUCCCCAAGAAACGAGAUUAUACUUCAGUGAUGCAAACAGAACCUGUGCAUUUAAAUAUUUUCUUGUGGUUAAGUAUAUUAGUGAGAAUACUAACGGCAACAAAGUAGUAGUGCAGUGAAGAACAAUGGUGAAAUGUUUUAUCAUGCUUUAAAAAAAUCAAAUCAGUAGUUCACAUGUGUGGCAUCUUGUCAAAACCCUCUCAGGGAAACCGACUUCCCACAGCAGGGUUAUCUAGGGCACCCCUUUUAUUCCUUCUCACCUUCAGUCCUUUUUGUACUUAUUUAUAAACCAGGGAAUAAAACCAGGGAAUUUACAUUGUAACUCUAAUGUGCAAGAACACUUAACUGUUAUACACAGAACA